rnacentral:ncRNA from 2 species
AUAAUCAGCGGAGAUGGCAUUCCUCCCCGUAUCGCUCGACACCGUUCGACACCAAACCGCCCUUCGGGGCUGAUGAUGCCUGCACGUUC